rnacentral:rRNA from 1 species
UACGUAGGGGGCAAGCGUUGUCCGGAAUUAUUGGGCGUAAAGCGCUCGCAGGUGGUCCGUCGCGUCGUGCGUGAAAGGCCCCGGCUCAACCGGGGAGGGUCGUGCGAUACGGGCGGACUGGAGGCCAGUAGGGGGAUGCGGAAUUCCGGGUGUAGUGGUGGAAUGCGUAGAGAUCCGGAGGAACACCAGCGGCGAAGGCGGCAUCCUGGACUGGUCCUGACACUCAGGAGCGAAAGCGUGGGGAGCGAUCCGGAUUAGAUACCCCCGUAGUCC